rnacentral:rRNA from 1 species
AUGCUUCAUCUCGGCGACAGUGUUGCAGUGGAGGUUCGGCGGAGUCGUUCGUGCUGCGUUGGAGCUCCGCAUGGCUGCAAUGAAGCUUCGUCGGAAUUGCUAUGGAGCAUCGCCGGAGCUGUCGGUGUGCUGGAGCUCCGCCAGGGCUGUAAUGGAGCUUCACGGGAGUUGCAAUGGAGCUUCACUGGAGCUGUCGGUGCUGCGUUGGUGCGCCGCCGGGGCUGCAAUGGAGCUUCGCCGGAUGCCGACGGUGCUGCCAUGAGAGCUACAAUGAAGCUUUUGUCAGAGUCCAUCAUUGUUGCUAUGAAGCUGCGGCACGUUGGUGCUGCCAUGGCGUUGCUACAAUCGUACGGUCACCAACGAACAGAUCUGGCGGUUGGUUAG